GGGGGCGAUCUGGCUUCGACGUGGAUUGCAAACCCCGAGGUGCAUGUCGAGCAGGCAACAAAGGCUCGUAAAUCCCAUGUUGCAACAUGAUAAUUGCAAACGAUAGCAACUAUCUCCAAGAAGCUUACGCUUAAUUAGCUUCUUCCAUUGGCUGGAUUCGCUUAUAGGUCCUCCCCAAUGGUCAUAGUUUGUAAGCUCGCGACAGGGCAUGGUCCAUGACCUUGUUGUUAAACCCAUAGGGCUCGUGAUUGGUUUUAGCCUGCCCAUCGGGUGACCGAUCACUAAAAUAAUAGAUUGGGCUAUACAUGUAGAACUGAGGGCAGAGGAUUUGCGGACGCGGGUUCAAUUCCCGCCGCCUCCACCA
rnacentral:tmRNA from 1 species